rnacentral:rRNA from 1 species
ACGAAGGGUGCAAGCGUUACUCGGAAUUACUGGGCGUAAAGGGUGCGUAGGUGGUUUUUUAAGUCUGCUGUGAAAUCCCCGGGCUCAACCUGGGAAUGGCAGUGGAUACUGGAAAGCUGGAGUGCGGUAGAGGGUAGUGGAAUUCCCGGUGUAGCAGUGAAAUGCGUAGAGAUCGGGAGGAACACCGAUGGCGAAGGCAGGUCACUGGGCCGCAACUGACGCUGAGGAGCGAAAGCAUGGGGAGCGAACAGGA